GUGAAACGUUCCCAUUAGUUAUAGGUCAAUUAAAAAAAAAAGCCAAGUUUCCUUUUAUUCUGUUAGAAGCAUGAACAUGGGCGGAACAGUCCAGAGGGGAAGAGUCGAACUCACAGAGAAAGAGAAUGUUCAAUUUAGGGAAGCGAAAGCCUAAGAACAAAGAUGAGGGAGAAUAGAUUCUUGAAUGGCAGGUGGAGCCAUACAUUUUGUUUCUUUUCUUUUUGUGGCCAUACCUGUGGCAUAGGGAAAUUCCCGGGAUGGGGCCAAAUCAGAGAGGCAGCUGUGACCCACGCUGCAGCUUGUGGCAAUGCCGGGUCCUUGACCCACUGAGCGAGGCCAGGGAUUGAACCUGCAUCCUUAUGGAGAUUACUGUAGGUUCUUAACCCUCUGAGCCACAGUGGGAACUCUGGGAACCGUAGAAUUUUUAUCUUGAGAGACUGACUUUAUACCUUCCUGAAUUUUACUCUGGCAGAGCAGGAAUAUCCAAAAUGAAAGGACGGGAGGGGGUGACGUAGUAUUUCUCUUCUGAUUUUGAAGUUGCUUUUUUUUUGGUCUUUUUGCCUUUUCUAGGGCCGCUCCUGUGGCAUAUGGAGGUUCCCAGGCUAGGGGUUGAAUCGGAGAUGUAGCUCCAGGCCUACACCAGGGACACAGCCACGUGGGAUCCGAACCAUGUCUGUGGUCUACACCACAGCUCACGGCAACUCGGGAUCCUUAACCCACUGAGCAAGGGCAGGGACCGAACCCGCAACCUCAUGGUUCCUAGUCAGAUUCGUUAACCACUGAGCCACGAUGGGAACUCCUUGAGGUUGCUUUGUUAGCUUUUUCCGGUCAGCGACUCCCCUACUUCCAACAGCCCUUUUCGGGUACAGAAUUAAAAGCUGAUGGUUGAUUACCUCCCUCAGGCCCUUUCACUGGUCCGCUUGCAGACCAUUGAAAUUCACCCUAGAGCUCACCCUUCAAAGUAAUUAACUAUUUAAAAAUUUUUCCCUCUGUUAAAGUUUUAUUGAAGUGUAGUUGAUUUACAUCCAUUCUUUUUCGGAUCCUUUUACCAUGUAGAUUGUCACAGAAUAUUGGUAGAGUUUCCUGUGCUGUGCUUUAGGUCCACGUUGGCCAGACAUUCCAUAUACCUCAGUGUACAUAGGCCACCCCAAGCCCCCAGUCUGUCCCUCUCUCCCUCACCACCUGUCCCCUUUGGUAACCAUAAGUUUGCUUUCAAAGUCCGUGAGUCUGUUUCCAUUCUGCAAUUACGUUUAUUUGUAUCUUUUUUUUUUUUUUUUUUAGAUUCCACAUAUAAGUCAUAUUAUAUGUUUGUCUUUCUCUGAUUAACUAUUAAAUUAAACUAAUUAAACUAUUAACUAAUUAACUAUUAACUAUUAAAACUAAUUAACUAUUAACUAUUAAAACUAAUUAACUAUUAAAAAAAAAUACUUGGGGAGUUCCCGACGUGGCGCAUGGGAAGUGAAUCUGACUAGGAACCGUGAGGUUGUGGCUUCGAACCCUGGCCUCAGUCAGUGGGUUAAGGAUCCAGUGUUGCCAUGAGCUGUGGUGUAGGUCGAAGACAUGGCUCAGAUCUGGCGUUGCUUUGGCUGUGGUAUAGGCCGGCGGUUACAGCUCUGAUUAGACCCCUAGUCUGGGAACCUCCAUAUGCCGUGGUUGAGGCCCUCAAAAGACACAAAGACAACCUCCCAAAAACCAACCAACCAAAAAAACAAAUACUUGGGAAUUCCUGUUGUGGCUCAGUGGGUUAACUAGUAUCCACGAAGAUGCAGGUUUGAUCCCUGGCCUCAGUCAGUGGUUUAAGGAUCUGGUGUUGCUCUGAGCUGUGGUGUUAGAGGUCGCAGGUGCAGCUGGGAUCUGGCUGUGGUGUAGACCAGCAGCUGUAGGUAGCUCUUAUUUGACCCCUAGCCUGGGAACCUUCACAUGCCAC
ensembl:lncRNA